rnacentral:rRNA from 1 species
AACGAACGCUGGCGGCAGGCUUAACACAUGCAAGUCGAGCGCCCCGCAAGGGGAGCGGCAGACGGGUGAGUAACGCGUGGGAAUCUACCCAUCUCUACGGAAUAACGCAUGGAAACGUGUGCUAAUACCGUAUACGUCAUUCGGGAGAAAGAUUUAUCGGAGAUGGAUGAGCCCGCGUUGGAUUAGCUAGUUGGUGGGGUAAAGGCCUACCAAGGCGACGAUCCAUAGCUGGUCUGAGAGGAUGAUCAGCCACACUGGGACUGAGACACGGCCCAGACUCCUACGGGAGGCAGCAGUGGGGAAUAUUGGACAAUGGGCGCAAGCCUGAUCCAGCCAUGCCGCGUGAGUGAUAAAGGCCCUAGGGUUGUAAAGCUCUUUCACCGGUGAAGAUAAUGACGGUAACCGGAGAAGAAGCCCCGGCUAACUUCGUGCCAGCCGCCGCCGUAAGAC